CGGGGCAAUGGCGAGUCGCGCUUCGUUCGCCCCUGUUUCCCUCUUGUGACUUAUACCUUACUGUUGCCUCGGCGCAGGCCGGCCCCCCUCGGGGGGCCCCUCGUUCCUGACGAGGAGCAGGCUCGCCGGCGGCCAAGUUAACUCUUGUUUUUAUUAUGAAACUCUGAGAAUAAAACAUAAAUGAAUCAAAACUUUCAACAACGGAUCUCUUGGUUCUGGCAUCCAAGAAGAACGCAGCGAAAUGCGAUAAGUAAUGUGAAUUGCAGAAUUCAGUGAAUCAUCGAAUCUUUGAACGCACAUUGCGCCCUCUGGUAUUCCGGAGGGCAUGCCUGUUCUAGCGUCAUUUCCACCCUCAACCCUGGCUUGGUGAUGGGGCUCUGCCUUGUGUAAAAGCAAGGCUGGCCCUGAAAUUCACUGGCGAACUCGCUAUGACUCCUAACGCAUUAGUUUAACCCUCGCUUUUGACGGACUGGCGGUGCCCUGCCGUUUCACCCCCAACUUUUGAAAACUUGACCUUGGAUCAGGUAAGAAUACCCGUUAAACUUAAACAUAUUAAUAAGCGGAAGAAAAAAAGGAACUGCUACUAACCGACCUUCAGUUGGACAUCUUAUCUUAUACUUUGACCCCAAAUCAUGGUAGACUACCCGCUGAAAUUAAGAUACAGAAGAACAAUGAAAAUUGUGAGCAGGAAGGGAUAUGGCGCGAAUGCCAUCUGGACUAAUAAUGACUUUGAGGACUAGACAUUACGAUUAAAGAUUUUAGAUACAUCGAGCCAUGCCGUGAUCUAUGUUUAAAAGAGUAGUAAAUUUAGACUGUAGCAACGCAUUACGCCUUAA
rnacentral:rRNA from 1 species